rnacentral:rRNA from 1 species
GAUGAACGCUGGCGGCUUGCCUAAUACAUGCAAGUCGAGCGAAUGGAUUAAGAGCUUUCUCUUAUGAAGUUAGCGGCGGACGGGUGAGUAACACGUGGGUAACCCGCCCAUAAGACUGGGAUAACUCCGGGAAACCGUGGCUAAUACCGGAUAACAUUUUGAACCGCAAGGUUCGAAAUUGAAAGGCGGCUUCGGCUGUCACUUAUGGAUGGACCCGGGUCGCAUUAGCUAGGUGGUGCGGUAACGGCUCACCAAGGCCACGAUGCCUAGCCAACCUGAGAGGGUGAUCGGCCACACUGGGGCUGAGACACGGCCCAGACUCCUACGGGAGGCAGCAGUAGGGAAUCUUCCGCAAUGGACGAAAGUCUGACGGUGCAACGCCGCGUGAGUGAUGAAGGCUUUCGGUUCGUAAAACUCUGUUGUUAGGGAAGAACAAGUGCUAGUUGAAUAAGCUGGCACCUUGACGGUACCUAACCAGAAAGCCACGGCUAACUACGUGCCAGCAGCCGCCGUAA